rnacentral:rRNA from 1 species
AAUGAACGCUGGCGGCAUGCCUAAUACAUGCAAGUCGAACGAACACACAGUAAGCUUUUGCCCUUGCGGGUGGCGAGUGGCGGACGGGUGACGCAUACAUCGGCUACCUCUUUUUCUGGGGUGAUAACGUAGGGCAACUUCUGCUAAUACCGCAUAUGUCCUACGGCUGAAUGCAGUGGUUCAUCGGAGUUUUCGCGAUUGUAUUAGCCGAUGCCGGAUUAGCUAGUUGGCUAGGUAAGGGCCCACCAAGGCAACGAUCCGUAGCGGAGCUGAGAGGAUGAUCGGCCACACUGGAACUGAGACACGGUCCAGACUCCUACGGGAGGCAGCAGUAGGGAAUAUUCCGCAAUGGGCGAAAGCCUGACGGAGCAACGCCGCGUGAGUGAUGAAGGUCUUCGGGUCGUAAAGCUCUGUUGUUAGGGAAGAACAAAUGUAUAAGUAACCCUGGACGUCUUGACGGUACCUAAAGAGAAAGCCCCGGCUAACUACGUG